AAAAUAGAUGAUGAUGAAACAUAUAAAUAGCAAUAUUAUACACAAAAAAAAAAAAAAUCAGAAAUUUUAGUGUCACAGUAUUAAUUAAUUAUAAUUUCUUAAGAACCAAGGCAAUUUGAAUGGGGUUAAUAUCUUCUUUAACAAUCUCCUCAUUCACCAUACUUGCAUAGAUCUCAAAUAAAGAGUCUAAAAUCUGAUCUCCAAAGUGGUGGGAAAUCAUUGAUUCUUGGAUAGCCCUAACUGUCAUUGCAACUUCUGCUCCAUAGUUUCUGCUAACCUUUUCAAGUUGGCUCUCAGUCUCAAACAUCUCCAUUCGAACCAAUUCAAAAGAGCCUUCUCUCCUUAUCUCAGCUUCUAUUUCAUCUUUGGAUGCUGUAUAGAAAUUCACUUCAUAAGAAUCAAGCUUUUCCUUCUCUAUUUGUCCCUGGGAAACCAAAAUGGCAAGCGAUCUUGAAAGAAGUUCCCAGAAGAAUGAAUUGCCUCUAUCAACAUGAUCUGGGCCUAUUCUUCCCAGCAAAAUCAAGACCAUGCACCCUCCAGUAGUUACUUCUUGGGACCGUGAUCGAAGGAACAAGGAGAAGUCAUCUUGGAAUUGCUUAAAAUAUGCUUGGGACACUAGCGGAGGACUGGAUUCAGAAAUGUAAAUGUUGCCUUUAUUUAUUGACCUUCCUUGCUCAUCAUAAAGACCUGGUGGAAUCUGAGAAAGCCAGUGUAAACUGAAAGAUGAGUAAACAAAGUGCAAGCAAUUGUUGGGGAAAAUUCGUCCAUAAAAGGAACCAGGAUAGCCUGCAAUGAAAAGGGAAGGAGACCCACCACUUCUUUCUUUCUUAAGUUCUUUAUAGAAAUCUGGCAGGGACUUAAACACUGAAUUGAAAUCAUUUGUUGGAAGAUCAUUAAGGUAAACUCUGAAUUCUGGUGCUGGGCUCAUGAUCUUACAACUUACUGCUUCAACAGCUUCCAGAAUAUCUUUGAUGAUCGAUAAUGUGUUGGGUCCAGAAGAGCAACCUAAAUCAGCUAUGCCAAAGCUCUUUGGUGCUAGUGCAAGAUAAACUUCUUGUAAUGCUUCUAUAGUUAUGUGCUUGACCAUAUGAGAUGCCUUCUUCUGUUAAAAAUGAAACAAAGAAAAUAAGCAGAAAGAGAGUGAUACAAAUAUCUGCAGAAUAUUGGAAGAAAGAAAGAGGAGAGGAAUUGAUCACAAACCUGCAAUGAGGAGUUUUUAGCAUAGCUAUGCUCUCCAAUGCCUCCUGUCAUGUGAAAGAGCUUCUCAACAUCCAUAUUGAUGGGUGAUGUUCUAAGCAUUGGAGGGUUCUGGUGCAUUUUAUCUUUACUUAAAGGCAAAUUUCAAUAAUGUACUUCUUUACUUUUCG
rnacentral:misc_RNA from 1 species